rnacentral:misc_RNA from 1 species
GUUUAUUGUAAUCGGUCCCAUAUACCAAAUCUCUCUUCUUUUUCUCUCGAUUCGGAUCCACGUCCGCCCACCCAAUACCCAAUCAGGUUAUUCACGAUUCUUUGCAGUUAGGUUUACUGGAUUUGGAUGGGUACGGAGAGGAAGAGAAAAGUGAGCUUGUUUGAUGUGGUGGACGAGACUUCGAUCUCGGCGAAGAAAUCGAAAACAAACGGCGGUGGUGGAGCGGCGAUAAACAACAACGGAAACAACGACAAUUUGAUUAAUCGUUGGACUGGGAAGCCAUAUUCACAGAGGUACUAUGAAAUAUUGGAAAAGAGGACAAGUCUGCCCGUUUGGCAACAAAAAGAGGAGUUCUUGACGGCUUUGAAGAAAAAUCAGGUCCUUGUUCUUGUUGGUGAGACUGGUAGUGGAAAAACUACUCAGAUUCCUCAGUUUGUUUUGGAAUCCAUCGACAUAGAAACCCCUGAUAAACGUAGGAAGAUGAUGAUUGGAUG